rnacentral:rRNA from 12 species
CCUGGUGGUUAUGGCGGAGCGGCUGCACCCGAUCCCAUUCCGAACUCGGCCGUGAAACGCUCCAGCGCCAAUGGUACUUCGUCUCAAGAGGAGGCAGAGUAGGUCGAUGCCAGGU